CAUCUUACCGGGCAGCAUUAGAUUUUUCAAAUACAUUUCUAAUACUGUCAGGUAAAGAUGU
rnacentral:pre_miRNA from 1 species